rnacentral:rRNA from 1 species
GACGAACGCUGGCGGCGUGCUUAACACAUGCAAGUCGAACGGAAAGGCCUGCAGCUUGCUGCGGGUACUCGAGUGGCGAACGGGUGAGUAACACGUGGGUGAUCUGCCUUGCACUUCGGGAUAAGCUUGGGAAACUGGGUCUAAUACCGGAUAGGACAGCUGUUUAGUGUCAGUUGUGGAAAGUUUUUUUCGGUGCAAGAUGAGCUCGCGGCCUAUCAGCUUGUUGGUGGGGUAAUGGCCUACCAAGGCGUCGACGGGUAGCCGGCCUGAGAGGGUGUACGGCCACAUUGGGACUGAGAUACGGCCCAGACUCCUACGGGAGGCAGCAGUGGGGAAUAUUGCACAAUGGGCGGAAGCCUGAUGCAGCGACGCCGCGUGGGGGAUGAAGGCCUUCGGGUUGUAAACUCCUUUCGACAGGGACGAAGCUUUUGUGACGGUACCUGUAUAAGAAGCACCGGCUAACUACGUGCCAGCAGCCGCGGUAAUACGUAGGGUGCGAGCGUUGUCCGGAAUUACUGGGCGUAAAGAGCUCGUAGGUGGUUUGUCGCGUCGUCUGUGAAAUUCCGGGGCUUAACUCCGGGCGUGCAGGCGAUACGGGCUGACUUGAGUGCUGUAGGGGAGACUGGAAUUCCUGGUGUAGCGGUGAAAUGCGCAGAUAUCAGGAGGAACACCGAUGGCGAAGGCAGGUCUCUGGGCAGUAACUGACGCUGAGGAGCGAAAGCAUGGGUAGCGAACAGGAUUAGAUACCCUGGUAGUCCAUGCCGUAAACGGUGGGCGCUAGGUGUAGGGGGCUUCCACGUCUUCUGUGCCGUAGCUAACGCAUUAAGCGCCCCGCCUGGGGAGUACGGCCGCAAGGCUAAAACUCAAAGGAAUUGACGGGGGCCCGCACAAGCGGCGGAGCAUGUGGAUUAAUUCGAUGCAACGCGAAGAACCUUACCUGGGCUUGACAUAUACAAGACAGGCGUAGAGAUACGUCCUCCCUUGUGGUUUGUAUACAGGUGGUGCAUGGUUGUCGUCAGCUCGUGUCGUGAGGUGUUGGGUUAAGUCCCGCAACGAGCGCAACCCUUAAGCUUAGUUGCCAUCAUUAAGUUGGGCACUCUAAGUUGACUGCCGGUGACAAACCGGAGGAAGGUGGGGAUGACGUCAAAUCAUCAUGCCCCUUAUGAUUUGGGCUACACACGUGCUACAAUGGACAAUACAAAGGGCAGCGAAACCGCGAGGUCAAGCAAAUCCCAUAAAGUUGUUCUCAGUCCGGAUUGUAGUCUGCAACUCGACUACAUGAAGCUGGAAUCGCUAGUAAUCGUAGAUCAGCAUGCUACGGUGAAUACGUUCCCGGGCCU